AGAAGAAGAAUAAGCUGACGUCAUCCUAUGCGACACUUACACUCCGUCUUUUCAGAAGAAGAAAAGACCCAGAAGCAUCUCUCCAACUGCCUCUCCUCCCACUGUGUCAUCUCUCCGUCCCCCCCCUGCCCGUAGAUCUUAAAUAACUGUCAACUUUGGCUGUGUGAGUACUUUGAUGUACAUAUCUCAGAAGGGCCGUCUGACUCUAUUCUUGAGUGGUUAUGCUAUUCAACAUUUUGGUGUAACUGGUUAAACACACUUGAAUAAAAUGGCUGAGGUGCCACCUCAUUCAUUCUGCAUUCAGAUCAUAUGAAGUCCUGGUAACAUCAAAAUUAAUUGAGUGAGAUGUUUUGUGCCAGAGAAACACCUAAAACUUGAAAGACACCUAACCUAUUCUUGAUGCCUGGUAUUUGGACACCUAUGUCCUAUUUUAUGUUUUCUUUUUUUAUCUCUCAUUUUAAAUCAUAGUUAAGAUCUCGGCUGACAGCUUCCUGAAAUGAUUUUUGAGCGGGAAGCCAUAAUAUGAGUUGGAUAAGAUGUUAAGGAAGGAUCCCUUCAAGUGUCAAGCUUGUACCCCAGAUGUGCUUUCAGUUUCAGUGGAUGGAAACUGCAAGUAUUACCAUUUAAAGAAUGCAGCAAGAUUGGAGGAACAGGCUAUAUUUCAGGACCUUUUCAUUGCCAAGGAUGAAAACGUAGGAACAUUUGUGGACUGUAUACACUAAUCAACCAAAAAUAUUUUGUGGUGGGCAGCCAGGGAGAUCUCUCACAGAUCCAGCAGCAAACUGGAUGAGGAGGCUUGGAGCUAGCGGUGUGUAGACAUGGAGUGCUGCUUAGUGCUCUUCGAGAUAGUAUGAGAUAUUUGCAUAAGCUUUGUUCUUUCAACAAAGGCUGGCCAACAGACAAUCACUUUUUUUUCCAUGGAUGUAACAUGUAAGUACUGACCAUAUCUUGAAAACUAACAAAAAGCUGUCCUGAGCUCCAACACCUGCUUAAAAUGAAGCCAUUUCUCUCAAUUUUCCAUGGCAAAGCCCAUGAAUGUAAGAUACAGAUGGACAAAGCUUGUGCCAAGGCUCAUCGCAAGAUCAGAAAGGAGAAAACAUCUUAGCAUUGGCUUUAGAAGAUGUUGGUCACUUGAAGACUGAUACAGACACAGAAGUUCUGUCUUUGGAAGAGAUCCUGUCCGGUGACACAACAUUGCCAUGGCAACAAUCACACAGUGACUCUCAGUCUUCACACAAAAACAAGGGCAAUCGAUGACAUCAUGAUGGUAAAGAGACUGGAAGAGGAAAAGAGGAUCUUUGUUGAUGGACCAUCGUUGGAAAUCUCUGUCAUCCUAUGAAGACACUCUAAAGGAGUUUCCCACCUGUUAUCAGGAGGUUUGUCCUGUGACCUAACUGACGAAGGUCCAAGAGGUCUCCAGAGCAUCAUCCUCAGAGAGCUGCAGCACCAACAGAUGAAGCUGCAGCUGCUGUAUUAUCUACAGCAGGGGAGCCCAAAGUGGGUCCUGGAGGCCCGGCAUCCUGCAUG